UGGGGAAUAUUGCACAAUGGAGGGAACUCUGAUGCAGCAACGCCGCGUGCGGGAUAACGGCCUUCGGGAUGUAAACCGCUUUCAGCCAUGACGAAGCUUUUGUGACGGUAGUGGUAGAAGAAGCACCGGCUAACUACGUGCCAGCAGCCGCGGUGAUACGUAGGGUGCGAGCGUUGUCCGGAAUUAUUGGGCGUAAAGAGCUUGUAGGCGGUUUGUCGCGUCGAUAGUGUAAACACGCAGCUUAACUGUGUGCCUGCUGUCGAUACGGGCUGACUAGAGGAGGGUAGGGGAGAAUGGAAUUCCCGGUGGAGCGGUGGAAUGCGCAGAUAUCGGGAGGAACACCAGUGGCGAAGGCGGUUCUCUGGACCUUUCCUGACGCUGAGAAGCGAAAGCGUGGGUAGCAAACAGG
rnacentral:rRNA from 1 species